rnacentral:rRNA from 1 species
GUCCAGACUCCUAUGGGAGGCAGCAGUGGGGGAUAUUGCACAAUGGGGGAAACCCUGAUGCAGCGACGCCGCGUGUGGGAAGACGGUCCUCUGGAUUGUAAACCACUGUCCCCAGGGACGAAGAUGACGGUACCCAAAGAGGAAGCUCCGGCUAACUACGUGCCAGCAGCCGCGGUAAUACGUAGGGAGCGAGCGUUGUCCGGAAUUACUGGGUGUAAAGGGAGCGUAGGCGGGCGAGAAAGUUGAAUGUUAAAUCUGCCGGCUUAACUGGUAGCUGCGUUCAAAACUUCUUGUCUUGAGUGAAGUAGAGGCAGGCGGAAUUCCUAGUGUAGCGGUGAAAUGCGUAGAUAUUAGGAGGAACACCAGUGGCGAAGGCGGCCUGCUGGGCUUUAACUGACGCUGAGGCUCGAAAGCGUGGGGAGCAAACAGGAUUAGAUACCCCUGUA